rnacentral:rRNA from 1 species
UACUGGGCGUAAAGCGCGCGUAGGCGGAUAUUUAAGUCAGAUGUGAAAUCCCUGGGCUCAACCUAGGAACUGCAUUUGAUACUGGAUAUCUAGAGUAUGGUAGAGGUGAGUGGAAUUUCAGGUGUAGCGGUGAAAUGCGUAGAGAUCUGAAGGAACAUCAGUGGCGAAGGCGACUCACUGGGCCAUUACUGACGCUGAGGUGCGAAAGCGUGGGUAGAAAACAGGAUUAGAUACCCUGGUAGUCCACGCCCUAAACGAUGUCAACUAGGUGUAUGGGAGUUUAACUCCUGUGUAUCGAAGCUAACGCGAUAAGUUGACCGCCUGGGGAGUACGGUCGCAAGACUAAAACUCAAAUGAAUUGACGGGGGCCCGCACAAGCGGUGGAGCAUGUGGUUUAAUUCGAUGCAACGCGAAGAACCUUACCUGGUCUUGACAUGUAGCGAAGGUUGAAGAGAUUCGACUGUGCCUUCGGGAACGCUAACACAGGUGCUGCAUGGCUGUCGUCAGCUCGUGUCGUGAGAUGUUGG